CACGGCUGUUACUCUGAAACUUAACAGGAUUGAGUCCAUGAUUAAAUCACUUCCUGAAGGUCACUGAGUGACUCAACAGCAGAGCCAAGAAUUUGACCCAGCUCACUGAAUAUCAGUCAUCUGCCAACCAUGAACACAAAACCAUGUUUUACUUACAGCCUAUGUUAACAUUUGCUUUCCAUGUAUCUGCCAUGUGAUUAGAGCCCUUUCAUUCACUUCCCCUAUUUAAGUUUUGUGUUCCUCUAGAAACACUAAGAGGAAAAUUGUCACCCCUCCCCAUAACUGUGAAUAGUGAAGAACUUCUGCCCAUGUGUCUCCCACCUCCUGCAUAGGAGGAGGGCUCAGCCUACCAGUAGUCCUCUCCACCCUUCUGCUAGACUCGGUGGAAAAUGCUCUUGUGGCCAUACAAGGGGAGAGAGUGGAGCCUACAUGCAGCUGUGUUUAUAAUGAUACUUUCCUUAUCUUUUUUCCACAGACCCUACAGUGAGGAUCUCUCCAAGAAAGGGUCAACCAAGCAGCCAUGACCAAGGCAAAAAGUCAUCACAUUUUGUUCAUGCUACAAGUGCAUAGGAAAUCCAUUCCACAUCUGGACGACUACAUUGACUGGAGAUACUCAAGCUUUGAAGAAAACACAUUUAUGAAAGAAAACACUGAUGAAGACUCUUCCAGCUUGUAAUCAGUGAGAUCAAACUGAGGAGACACAGAGCAGG